rnacentral:piRNA from 1 species
UCAGAUCACAUGUGGGCUUGGAGAAGGAGU